rnacentral:rRNA from 1 species
AGCGAACGCUGGCGGCAGGCUUAACACAUGCAAGUCGAGCGGGCAUCCUUGUGGUGUCAGCGGCAGACGGGUGAGUAACGCGUGGGAACGUGCCCUUCGGUUCGGAAUAACUCAGGGAAACUUGAGCUAAUACCGGAUACGUGCGAGAGCAGAAAGGUUUAUCUGCCGAGGGAUCGGCCCGCGUCUGAUUAGCUAGUUGGUGAGGUUAUGGCUCACCAAGGCGACGAUCAGUAGCUGGUCUGAGAGGAUGAUCAGCCACACUGGGACUGAGACACGGCCCAGACUCCUACGGGAGGCAGCAGUGGGGAAUAUUGGACAAUGGGGGCAACCCUGAUCCAGCCAUGCCGCGUGAGUGAUGACGGCCUUAGGGUUGUAAAGCUCUUUUCUCCGGGACGAUAAUGACGGUACCGGAGGAAUAAGCCCCGGCUAACUUCGUG